rnacentral:rRNA from 1 species
AGUGAACGCUGGCGGCGUGCUUAACACAUGCAAGUCGAACGAGAACGGGUUAUAGCUUGAUAUAAUUGCCAGCUAAGUGGCGCACGGGUGAGUAAUGUAUAGGUAAUAUGCCUCUUACUAAGGGAUAACAAAUGGAAACGUUUGCUAAUACCUUAUACUCCUUAUUAACAGAAGUUAAUAAGGGAAAGAUUUAUUGGUAAGAGAUUAGCCUGUAUUGUAUCAGUUAGUUGGUGAGGUAAUGGCUUACCAAGACUAUGACACAUAACUGGUUUGAGAGGAUGAUCAGUCACACUGGAACUGAGACACGGUCCAGACUCCUACGGGAGGCAGCAGUGGGGAAUAUUGCACAAUGGACGAAAGUCUGAUGCAGCAACGCCGCGUGGAGGAUGACACAUUUCGGUGCGUAAACUCCUUUUAUAUGAGAAGAUAAUGACGGUAUUAUAUGAAUAAGCACCGGCUAACUCCGUGCCAGCCGCCGCCGUAA